UACGUAGGUGGCAAGCGUUGUCCGGAUUUAUUGGGCGUAAAGCGAGCGCAGGCGGUUCCUUAAGUCUGAUGUGAAAGCCCACGGCUCAACCGUGGAAGGUCAUUGGAAACUGGGGAACUUGAGUGCAGAAGAGGAGAGUGGAAUUCCAUGUGUAGCGGUGAAAUGCGUAGAGAUGUGGAGGAACACCAGUGGCGAAGGCGACUCUCUGGUCUGUAACUGACGCUGAGGUGCGAAAGCGUGGGUAGCAAACAGGAUUA
rnacentral:rRNA from 1 species